GGGAAUGUAGUUUAAUGGUAGAACAAUAACCUUCCACGUUAAGGGUUCGGGUUCGAUUCCCGAUGUUCUCG